CAAUAGCGUAUAUUAAAGUUGUUGCAGUUAAAAAGCUCGUAGUUGGAUUUCUGGUCGGAAGCUCCUGCCCUCUGAUGAGCGUACAAGUGCGUCCUACCAUCCUUCUGUUAACCUUUAAGGCUUUCGCGGCUUUCUAGGGGCUCAGAUAUUUUACCUUGAGAAAAUUAGAGUGUUUCAGGCAGGCUAGCGCCGGAAUACAUUAGCAUGGAAUAAUGGAAUAGGACUUUUGCCUCUUCUGUUGGUCAUGAGGCUCGAGUAAUGAUUAAUAGGGAUAGUUGGGGGCAUUAGUACUUAACUGUCAGAGGUGAAAUUCUCGGAUUUGUUAAAGACUAACUUAUGCGAAAGCAUUUGCCAAGGAUGUUUNCAUUA
rnacentral:rRNA from 1 species